UACGAAGGGGGGCUAGCGUUGCUCGGAAUGACUGGGCGUAAAGGGCGCGUAGGCGGCUUGCACCGUCAGAUGUGAAAAUUCCUGGGCUUAACCUGGGGGGGCUGCAUUUGAUACGUGUGGGGCUUGAGUGCGGAAGAGGGGUCGUGGGAAAUUCCCCAGUGUAGAGGUGAAAAUUCGUAGAUAUUGGGAAGAACACCGGUGGCGAAGGCGGCGACCUGGUCCGUGACUGACGCUGAGGCGCGAAAAGCGUGGGGGAGCAAAACAGG
rnacentral:rRNA from 1 species